CGCUAACUUUUUAACUAGUUGCAAAUUAAAAUUUAACUCGAGGGUACCCAGCACCUUCACCUCUGUCGGCGUUUCUCGGUACUUUCUCGUUCCCCGGGUCUGGAGAGCGACAGCCUGUGCGACGAGACGCGUCCGCAGAAGAAGAGAGAGCGAAGAAAGUUUGCGGGAGUAGAUUUAAAAAAAGAACCGGAGGUUGCUGAAAGUUAUAGGGACCGAGGAUCGAAGACGUUAGAGACUUCGAUCAUUUUUACGAGCGCUCCUGGUCACUGGCGCAUCGUGCAACCGAGGAUGAGAAGAUACUGCGCGCUAUCUCGAUCCUGCUUUUUCUCCAAGCUGGCCCCUAACUCGACGCGAUGUCUGCUUUUCGCGAUCUACGAAGCGGCACAAAUUUUUCAACUCCGGAUAUUUGCUAGCCUGUUAUUCGUUGGCCGACCGAAACCAACGAGAGAGUACGAAAUACAAGAACCACCAGUUGUUUCCAUCCCGAAUACUUCUGUUACGUUAAAACAACAAUGGCAUUCCCACGAACAAUCGCAGCGGAUUUAGUUAGUCGGGCAUAAUAGGUCUAGGGCGUAUGUCGUUCUUUUUUUUUUUCUGAAUGCAUCACGGGGUAACGAGGCAGCUCCGUUACCGCGCGCGCAAUAUUUCAAUUACCGCUCAACGUAUCCUAUUGUUUGCAGACGCAGCAGUCGACAACUUGGGAUCUCCGUGAACCGGCUCGCGAAGCCACGAAGAAAUAAUUUCGAAAUUGCCGCCAGCGAUUUUUCACGAAACGACUGUGAUUGAAACGCGGUCGCCGGCACGCGGAUACGUGCGAACAGAGAGCGUCGCACACAAGCAAGACGACGCGACGGGUUCCGCGAGAAAAGCGCGGAAAAGAGUAUUGCAAAGAGAGAAGAAAGAGCAGGUAACCCCUUUUGCGACGGGCCGAGGGCAGGAAGAACAAAUUGCACUUCCCAGUCUCGUUAAAACAAUGUCGUCGGGGGAACAGAGAAGAAGGGCAAACCGUGGCAGUGAGGGGCGGGCCGAAGGGAAUGAGAGGUAGGAGGUGAGGGGCAGAGGAAAGCUAGGUGGCUGCUGCAGCUUCCAACGAAGGAGUAUUCAGGUCGUCGAAGGGGAAAAAAUAUGAAUGCGGUAGCAUGGUCAUCAGGGUGGCGCAGCGGUAUCGUGUCGUCCACGCCCUUACCGCGCCGCUUUUAGCGUUCCAAGUUAAGUUCUAUCGACUGAUUGGCAGUCCCCGAACGCUUUAUUACGCUCCGGUCGACAAUUUCGAGAAUAAGCCAUCACGGACAGUGGCGUAGGUACGGUGGGCGUCUCGAGACCUGCAUCGAGACACACAGAGAAUACGAACAGAGUCGGGUUUCGUGCGUACCUUCCGGUAAAGGUAUCGGUCUGGAAACGGUGAAUUAUAUCCCCGUAAGGUAUCAUUCUGCGGUAAGAGAUGGCACGGUAGCUAUCUGAUUCCGUUAUCUCGGCGCCAUAUACCCAGUCCGUGGAUUCCGCGGCGAAAUAACAGUCCUCAGAAAUAACGUAUUCCGUAGGUCGGCCCUUUCAGCGUCCCUCUCGGGUACGUUCGAACAUGUCCGUCUUCAUUCGCCUUUCAUCGACUAAGCUUUUCUUCUUUUCUGCUCUGACCGCGAAAGACGAAGAUCGGACGUGGUGAACAAUGCCGCGUGACGUUGGGUGCGGCCAGAAAACUGAACCAACUCCGCGACUGCAACUCGCAUAUGUACCGCCCUGAUUGUCCUACGUAUACGCGUCCUUAAGAAUUAAAGCGACGUUCAUUGUCCCGUUACUUGCAGAGUCGUACGGCGAUGAAGGAAUUAAUAAUUACGCGCAGCCUGCACAGCCACGCCAGAAACUCACAGGUUUGUCACAAAAAAGAAAAGGGGAGAUUGAAAUCGCUACCGCGAUCCUACGGAGAUAAGCUAGUGUGUACGUCAGAAUGCAGAAUGAUUUGGCGCGAUGGAAAUGUGUAUGUGUACGCGUGUACGGCAAAAUAGAACCGCGACCGAACUGAAACUUGAACUACUGGCCACGAACGAGAAGGAAAUUUAUCGACGAUAGGCGAGAUCGAUGAGACUGAAAAGGCUCCCGUACAAUAUAUAUCCCGCAGAGGGGCUUUCGACUGGUCGGAGGAUUAAGCGCUUUUCGAGAGACGCCUACCUGCCGGUGUGGAGAGAAGAUGAAGGGCGGAGAGAGAGAGAGAGAGGAAGAGAGGUAGCAGUCGGUUCUACGUCCAGCUGCGAUCGAAAACUAAAACUCUGGGGAGUGGAUCCUCUACAUUAAACCCCAUCCAUAGAAACGUAUUGCUUUGUGUAAAAUGUUCCCUGAUAAUAUCGAAGCUAUUCCGGGUGAUAUUGAUAUUGCUAUUGCUAGGGCGGAUGAUACCAAAAAAAAGGAAAUCAUGCCUAAUUUGAAAAAACGUUCGAGACAAAAAGACGAAACCACUUAGGCUCUCUUUUCUUUCCAAUUUCAUCCUUAAAUCUUAUCUCUGGAUAUAGACUUUUUAAGCCAGGAUAUCGUUUUAGGAACGACACACAUAAUGAUUUUCGCUGGUGAAAUCAGCUUCGCACAAUGCAAUCAAACGUUCAUACUCUUCAUUGGAAUGAAUGCCCCAUACUUGUUCUGUUUACGCGCAUCUUGCAUACAGUCCGAGGAUAAACAUCAUUAUCGAAUUGAUUCUAUUUCGUCUAAUUACUCGACGCGAAUACGCUUCUGUAUGGCGGAUAACCUGGGAAUUUAACGAAUAUAUUUGUGUAUCAUUGCUCUCCAAUUAAGACGAGCCUCUUCUUCGCGUGAUAAUAAAAGAUUUUUCAAACAAUGAAGUUCCCUAUUGUCCCAUCUAGCCGAUUUACAUAGCUAUAAAAGAGAACGAGCCAUUCGCAGGGGACGAGUAAGAAGCCGGACGACGCGACGUUUUCGAGUUUACACGACCGUGUCGACGGGACUUUCACGUAAUUGCGCAUCAAUGUCCUUCAGGGAAAUGUCUUCUCGAGACCAAUAAGUCCUGAAGAGGAAGCAGAGCGGAACGGAAGGAAAGAAACGAGAGCAUGAAAUAGCUGAGGAGAUGCCGUGGCAUGAUAACAGAUGUCUCGCGUCGCGGAUCUUGUCUCGUUGUCUUCGGGCAGUGACGCGGUACGCCAACAUCCCCGGCAUCGCGGUCCUUCGAGAAGCGAGAAGAAGCGAGGAGAGUACCGUCAAACAGAUUGAAAUCAACGGGAAGCGACUUCUAUUUUCUCCUCUGCACUGUACCAGAGCCAGAUCUGAAAUGAAAAUCUGUGGCCCCGCGAGCGAGGAACCGCAAGAUAAUUCAAAAAGAAGAGAAUGACUGUAAGAAAGAGGGAAAGGCAUAGCCCGGCAACGGCAUAGCAAACGUCCUAUGUACCUUCGCUCUGUUUCACGAAAUCGCGAACGAUUCAGUCAGACUGAUUAAAAUGUCCGUUUAUAACGUGACCAUAUUACGAAUUUCAUUUUCGAACUGAAUAUAUUCUCGAACCCUUCAGUUCGCAAGUUUCAGUUUCAAUUUGCAAGCUGCAAACGUUCUGAUAUUCAAUUAACGAUUUUAUAUUACAACGGGCUUCGUUAUUUUCAAAACAGAUAUUACAUUUAAUAAUCGUAACUAGAGCGAAACCCAACCGGUAUUUAUUGUCUCAGGCUACGCGGCCGCGCUCGGACAAAAGUCCGUGUAUCAUCUUUCAUGAACAAAAUAAAAUGCAAAAAAAGGAUAGCGAGAGAGAGAGAGAGAGAGAGAGAG